rnacentral:lncRNA from 1 species
AUUAUAUAUAAUGCUCAACCAAAGAUGUACUCCUAAUAUAUUUAAGAUUCCGACUUUAAUUAAUAUCUAAAUCUAUCUUAAUUAAUCUCUAAUAGAUUUAAAUAUUAAUCCUAAUCUAGUUAGGUUUAUCCUUUAAUUAAUAUUUAAAUCUUAAUUUAUCUCCAACAGAUUUAAUAUUAAUUCUAAUCCAAUUAGGAUUCAACUACAAAUCUAACCAAAUCCUAACAAUCUCCACCUU